rnacentral:rRNA from 1 species
CGUAUGCAACCUACCUAGUCAGAGGGGAACUAACCCGGCGAAAGUCGGACUAAUACCGCAUAAACAGGGGCACCGCAUGGUGAUAUUUGUUAAAGAAAUUCGCUGAUAGAUGGGCAUGCGUUCCAUUAGGUAGUGGUGAGGUAACGGCUCACCAAGCCGACGAUGGAUAGGGGAACUGAGAGGUUGGUCCCCACACUGGUACUGAGACACGGACCAGACUCCUACGGGAGGCAGCAGUGAGGAAUAUUGGUCAAUGGGCGGGAGCCUGAACCAGCCAAGUCGCGUGAAAGGAAGAAGGAUCUAUGGUUCGUAAACUUCUUUUGCAGGGGAAUAAAGUGCAGGACGUGUCCUGUUUUGUAUGUACCCUGAGAAUAAGGAUCGGCUAACUCCGUGCCAGCCGCAGC